GGCCUAGCGAACCCCGAGGUCCCUCUUGAUGGGGGGUCGGGAUGACGGAAAAGCUACCCCGGGGAUAACAGAGUUGUCACGGGCAAGAGUCCGUAUCGACCCCGUGGCUUGCUACCUCGAUGUCGGUUCUUCGCAUCCUGGCCGUGCAGCAGCGGCCAAGGGUAGGGUUGUUCGCCCGUUAAAGCGGAUCGUGAGCUGGGUUUAGACCGUCGUGAGACAGGUCAGACGCUAUCUUCCAGGAGUGACGGAUGCUUGAGGGGAAGGUAGCCUCAGUACGAGAGGAACGGGCUGUCGGCGCCACUAGUGUACCAGUUAUCCGAUAGGGUACAGCUGGGUAGCCACGCGCCAGUCGAUAAGGCCUGAAAGCAUCUAAGGCCGAAGCGACUCCCAAAAAUAAGCAUCCAAUCCUGAUCAUCAUCUUGGGACUGGCGACAGUCACAAUCAAUCAGGACGAGGACAGGGACUAGAAGAUCCCGUUGAUGGACUGGGGGUGUAAGCGCGAAGCCUCGGCGACGCGUUCAGCCCACCAGCACCAAUAGUCCAAGGUGCCAGACUU
rnacentral:ncRNA from 1 species